GAGUUUGAUUAUGGCUCAGGAUGAACGCUGGCGGCGUGCCUAACACAUGCAAGUCGAGCGCGGUUGUGCUUAGUAUUGAGUGUUUUAUUGAUAUAAAACAUUGAAUUCUAUGCACAACUGAGCGGCGGACGGGUGAGUAACGCGUGGGUAACCUGCCCUAUACACAUGGAUAACAUACUGAAAAGUUUACUAAUACAUGAUAAAAUAGUUUUUCGGCACCGAAGAAUUAUCAAAGUGUUAGCGGUAUAGGAUGGACCCGCGUCUGAUUAGCUAGUUGGUGAGAUAACUGCCCACCAAGGCGACGAUCAGUAGCCGACCUGAGAGGGUGAUCGGCCACAUUGGAACUGAGACACGGUCCAAACUCCUACGGGAGGCAGCAGUGGGGAAUAUUGCACAAUGGGCGCAAGCCUGAUGCAGCAACGCCGCGUGAACGAUGAAGGUCUUCGGAUCGUAAAGUUCUGUUGCAGGGGAAGAUAAUGACGGU
rnacentral:rRNA from 1 species